GAAUGGGGAAUUGGGAACAGGGAUGGGGAAUGAGGAAUGGUGUUUGGGGAAUGGGGAAUGAAGAAUGGGAAUGGGAACGGGCAAUGACAGCAGCUCUGGUUUCUCCCUUCCAGACCAGCGGCCCCGGAGGGUUCGACUUGGCCGGAUUGCUGAACAACCCCGGCUUCAUGAGCAUGGCCUCAAACCUCAUGAACAACCCCCAAGUACAACAGCUAAUGUCGGGGAUGAUCUCGGGAGGCCACAACGCCAUGGGAGCGACCGGGAGCAGCCCCUCCACCAACGACCUGGCCAGCCUGAUCCAGGCGUGAGUGGGGACACUGGGGACAGGAUGGGGACACCUGGGGAUGGCUGGGGGAUAGGACUGGGGACAGACAGCCUGGGGACAGCUGGGGACAGGAUUGGGGACAGACUGGG
rnacentral:lncRNA from 1 species